ACUUCGAGUAUAUUAAAUCCUUACUGUUUUUGCAACUCCAUAUCACGCGCCACAGGAAGACUGACUUUUUCAACAUUCUUACAAUUUACUGUUAUCACUACCCAAUCAAGAACGAUCUGCCCUGUUGUACUAAUGCUUCAUUAUUCUUCACAGAAGAGAUUCCUUAUCAUUUUGUAUUUGUGCAACACAAAUUUUCGUUUACUCAUUACAGAAGCGUCGGAUGUCCUUACAAUUUCCUAUCACGCACAUCAAAAGUGUUGUACAAUAUUCUAAGGAAUUCUUACAAUUCCCGGAUCAGUACUCAGAGCGGAAGGGGUGUCAUUACAUUCUCACUACUGUUACAAUUCCCACUCUCAGUCCUAGCAAGGUGCUUUAUUAUUCCAUACCCAUAUCACUCGUUCCUCCAUCACAGGAGAGGCGCCAUAUUCACGGAAGCCCUGACGAGGAUGAGGACUCGACUUAACGAAGUGGGUCUUUUUGACUAUUGGACGAAUGACGUCAUCAACACCAAAGCCGGGAAGACCAGGAGAGACAUCAAGGAAAAGGGAGGUCAGAGGUCAGCUGAAGCUCGACGCUGCUGACUUUGGUGGAGAGGACACAGUAACCCAGGAAGUCCUAAGUCUGAACCACUUACAAGGAUGCUUCUACAUCUUGUUCAUCGGAUAUAUUGUCGCCCUGUUGACACUGACGUUGGAAAUCUGCAUAGGACACCUCAAAUAAAACUGAGGAAUAUUCUGCGUAAUAUGGCCAUCAUCCACUUAUGAACGGAUCACAAUAUUCACACAAGACACAUUCCCCACUAGAGUCGGUUUCAAACACGCUCAUGUGUAUGCAUCACCAAAACAUCAUAUCUUC